rnacentral:rRNA from 1 species
AUUGAACGCUGGCGGCAUGCCUUACACAUGCAAGUCGAACGGUAACGCGGGGCAACCUGGCGACGAGUGGCGAACGGGUGAGUAAUACAUCGGAACGUGCCCAGUAGUGGGGGAUAGCCCGGCGAAAGCCGGAUUAAUACCGCAUACGACCUACGGGUGAAAGCAGGGGAUCGCAAGACCUUGCGCCAUUGGAGCGGCCGAUGUCAGAUUAGGUUGUUGGUGGGGUAAAGGCCUACCAAGCCGACGAUCUGUAGCUGGUCUGAGAGGACGACCAGCCACACUGGGACUGAGACACGGCCCAGACUCCUACGGGAGGCAGCAGUGGGGAAUUUUGGACAAUGGGCGCAAGCCUGAUCCAGCCAUGCCGCGUGCGGGAAGAA